rnacentral:tRNA from 1 species
GCCAGGGUAGCCAAGCGGUCAAGGCAUCGCUCUCAUAUGGCGAGCAUCGUGGGUUCGAAUCCCACCCCUGGCA